rnacentral:rRNA from 1 species
GCAUUUUUCCAAUAGCGGAGGAAAAGAAACCAACAGGGAUUGCCCUAGUAACGGCGAGUGAAGCGGCAACAGCUCAAAUUUGAAAGCUAGCCUUCGGGUUCGCAUUGUAAUUUGUAGAGGAUGAUUUGGGGAAGCCGCCUGUCUAAGUUCCUUGGAACAGGACGUCAUAGAGGGUGAGAAUCCCGUAUGUGACAGGAAAUGGCACCCUAUGUAAAUCUCCUUCGACGAGUCGAGUUGUUUGGGAAUGCAGCUCUAAAUGGGAGGUAAAUUUCUUCUAAAGCUAAAUAUUGGCGAGAGACCGAUAGCGCACAAGUAGAGUGAUCGAAAGAUGAAAAGCACUUUGGAAAGAGAGUUAAAAAGCACGUGAAAUUGUUGAAAGGGAAGCGCUUGCAAUCAGACUUGUUUAAACUGUUCGGCCGGUCUUCUGACCGGUUUACUCAGUUUGGACAGGCCAGCAUCAGUUUCGGCGGCCGGAUAAAGGCUCUGGGAAUGUGGCCUCCACUUCGGUGGAGGUGUUAUAGCCCAGGGUGUAAUACGGCCAGCCGGGACUGAGGUCCGCGCUUCGGCUAGGAUGCUGGCGUAAUGGUUGUAAGCGACCCGUCUUAAAAACCCGGAAC